UGAGAGUUUGAUCCUGGCUCAGGAUGAACGCUGGCAACGUGGAUAAGGCAUGCAAGUCGAAUGCUACCUCUUAGGAAAGCAUGGCAAACGGGCUAGUAACACGUGGGAAUCUGCCCCAAAGUUAAGGACAACCCGAAGAAAUUCGGGAUAAUACCUAAUGUGCUCUUCGGAGUAAAGAUUUAUCGCUUUGGGAGGAGCCCGCGCACUAUCAGCUUGUUGGUGGGUAAUGGCCCACCAAGGCUAUGACGGUUAGGGGAUGUGAGAGCAUGACCCCCAGCAUUGGAACUGAGACACUGUCCAAACACCUACGGGUGGCUGCAGUCUAGAAUCUUCCACAAUGGGCGAGAGCCUGAUGGAGCGACGUUGCGUGCGGGAUGACGGCCCUCGGGUUGUAAACCGCUUUUAUUAGGGAUGGAUUUUUGACAGUACCUAAUGAAUAAGAGGUUGCUAACUCUGUGCCAGCAGCAGCAGUAAUACAGAGACCUCGAGCGUUAUCCGGAUUUACUGGGCGUAAAGCGUCUGUAGGGGGAUUAUGAAGUUCCAAGUAAAAUCUUAAGGCUCAACUUUAAGUUCGCUUGGAAAACUCGUAAUCUGGAGCAUAGCAGAGGUGCAUGGAACUUGUGGUGUAGGAGUGAAAUCCGUUGAUAUCACAAGGAACACCAAAGGCGAAGGCAUUGCACUAGGCUAUUGCUGACCCUGAGAGACGAAAG
rnacentral:rRNA from 1 species